UACGUAGGGGGCGAGCGUUGUCCGGAUUCAUUGGGCGUAAAGCGCGUGUAGGCGGCCUGGUAGGUCGGUUGUGAAAACUCGAGGCUCAACCUCGAGACGUCGACCGAAACCACCUGGCUAGAGUCCGGAAGAGGAGAGUGGAAUUCCUGGUGUAGCGGUGAAAUGCGCAGAUAUCAGGAAGAACACCCGUGGCGAAGGCGGCUCUCUGGGACGGUACUGACGCUGAGACGCGAAAGCGUGGGGAGCGAACAGG
rnacentral:rRNA from 1 species